AUCGACAGGCUUCCCCUAGUAACUGCGAGUGAAGCGGGAAAAGCUCAAAUUUAAAAUCUGGUGGCCUCUGGUCAUCCGAGUUGUAAUUUAGAGAAGCGUCUUCCGCGCUGGACCAUGCACAAGUCUCCUGGAAUGGAGCGUCAUAGAGGGUGAGAAUCCCGUCUUUGGCAUGGAUGCACCAGGGCUUCUGUGAUGCGCUCUCAAAGAGUCGAGUUGUUUGGGAAUGCAGCUCAAAAUGGGUGGUGAACUCCAUCUAAAGCUAAAUAUUGGCGAGAGACCGAUAGCGAACAAGUACCGUGAGGGAAAGAUGAAAAGCACUUUGGAAAGAGAGUGAAACAGUACGUGAAAUUGUUGAAAGGGAAACGCUUGAAGUCAGUCGCGUCGACCGAGACUCAGCCUCGCCUUGGCUUGGUGUACUUCUCGGCUGACGGGUCAGUGUCAAUUUUGGGCCUCGGAUAAUGACAAGGGAAAGGUGGCACCUUCAUAGGUGUGUUAUAGUCUCCUGUCGGAUGCGAGGGUCGGGAUUGAGGAACUCAGCACGCGCCUUUUGGUGUCGGGGCUUCGGCCUACGCUACGUGCUUAGGAUGCUGGCAUAAUGGCUUUAAACGACCCGUCUUGAAACACGGACCAAGGAGUCUAACAUGCCCGCGAGUGUUCGGGUGGAAAACCCGUGCGCGUAAUGAAAGUAAAAGUUGGGACCUCUGUCGUGGAGAGCACCGACGCCCGGACCAGACCUUCUGUGACGGAUCUGCGGUAGAGCGUGCAUGUUGGGACCCGAAAGAUGGUGAACUAUGCCUGAUAGGGUGAAGCCAGAGGAAACUCUGGUGGAGCUCGUAGCGAUUCUGACGUGCAAAUCGAUCGUCAAAUUUGGGUAUAGGGGCGAAAGACUAAUCGAACCAUCUAGUAGCUGGUC
rnacentral:rRNA from 1 species